CUUAAGUCAGCUGCUUCGCUUCCACUUAAGUCACUGAUUCUCCUGCGUUUGUUUUUAUUUUAAUGAAGAAUGAACACACAUUAGAUAUUAUUUUUACAUAAAAUGGGUAAAUCUAUGAAAAGAGGAAUUUACUUACAAGUCAGUCAGAUUUUUCAAGAGAAAAAUUCCAGAAUGAAUUGGCCCAUCCAAACCACUAGCCUGAAUCACCCUGUCAUAAUUUUAUUUAAAUGAAUAGAUAAACAGAGAACAUCUUCCAAAGAAAAAUUGAAAUACUAAAACAAGUAAAAGUCGCACAAUUUUUCGAGAUUUGUUCAGUUUUGGAUGAAAUUAAAAAUCUUUCCUGUAAAGCUGUUGUCACUAAUCCUAUCGCAAUGUGUAAAAGAAUAAAUGGAACAAUUGAUUUUAAAAUUUAGACACAAAUAAGUAUCUAGACAUAAAAAAAUAAAAAUAAAUCAACUUUAGAUACAUACAAUGUGAUAUCCUCCGUUUGUUUAUUUUUAGUGGUGUAUUAUUUGUUUAAAAGAAAGAAUGGAUAAUGUUAUGUGGCACUUGUAGGAGUAUAGUGGUGGCAACAGUAACACUUGUCCUUAUGCAUGGGAUGAAGUUGCCAGGUGUAUUUCCACUUGCAUUAAAGCUUCUGGAAGAAGCUUAGUUGACUCAAAAGUCUUCAAGGCUUAGUGGAAAGUGUAUAUAUCUUUAUAUAAUAGAGUACAAAACCCCACACACACACACACACACACACAUCACUUGGUCUCGGCUAGAGAGAGAGAGAGAGACUGGAGGGAGGAGGAAGGAGGAACCGGUAGCCAUAAGGAGGUCCUAGUGGUGGUGAAAAGGUCGCGGUGCAGGAGUAGGGAUGGCAUUAGGCGGGUUUCUUUCAUGGAGGCGUGGCAGUCCGUGGGAGACUGCUAUGUAUAUAUUUUUUUUGUACCGGCGGCUGCCUUGUUGUUUGGGUUAUAAAUUAUGUAUAUAAUGAGCAGCCUAGUGGGGACUUGUGUGUAUCUCCUUUUGUGAUUGUAAAUGGAACUUUUGGUUGUAUAUAAAGACUAUGGACGGAAUGAUCAUGGGUACGUUAGUUGUUGUUUAA